UCUAUGCCUAUGGCCUGGUGAUCUUCGUAGUCCAAGUGGAGAUGGGGAUCUAUGUCUGUGCCCUGGGGAAGGUGAUCUAUGACGAAGACCAAGAGACGGUGAUCUGCGUCGUCGCACCAGAGGAGAUCUAUGUCUUCUCAUAGGAGAAGGAGAUCUGCGUCGUCGCACUGGUGAAGGUGACCAACGUCGUCGCAUGGGAGAAGGUGAUCUUCGUCUCCGCAUGGGAGAAGGUGAUCUUCGUCGUCGCACGGGAGAAGGUGAUCUUUGUCGUCGCAUAGGAGAAGGUGAUCUUUGUCGUCGCGCGGGAGAAGGUGACCUCCGUCGUCGAAAAGGUGAACUUCUACGGACUGGAGAAUGCAUUCUACGUCGUAUAGGAGAAGGAGAUCUAUAACUUGAGCGAGAUAUGGAUCUUCUCCUCAAAUAAAGUGGCCUCCUAUGAGGAGAACGUCGUGGUGAAU
rnacentral:lncRNA from 1 species